GCCCAGACCGCUCGCUCUAAGUGGUUAGAGCGUCUGCCUCAGAUGCGGGAGGUCGCGGGUUCUAACCCCAGUCUGGUCA